GGUCAUGAGUGCCAGCGACAAGCCCCGGCUUGCUGGCCGGCAACCCUCGUCGAGGUUCGCGGUGGGGUGCCCCGGGUGAUGACCGGGCCCAGCACGACCAGGUGCUGGGCAAGCGCGGGCC
rnacentral:ncRNA from 1 species